UUUUUCAUUUCCCGCUUCCAGUCCUUCCCCUUCUCUUGUUCUCUACUUCUCCUUCAUUUUGUUUUCAUUUUCCACUUCUCCUCCCAUUCUCUGGUUCUAUACUUCUAUGCUCCUUCCCUUUCUUUGGUUUCUAACAAGGCUGUUGUUCCCCCACCGCCGUGGCGCCGUCGAACCUGCCUCCUCACGAUCUGGUAAUCUCCUUAACCCACUUCAUUAUUUAGAUUGAAUUACAUUAAAAUCCCCAAUAGGGCAAACCCUAGCAAUUUCAAUUGAUUUUCUCCCUUCUUUUGUUGUUGUACGACGAGAACUCCACCGCCGAAGUCGUUGUUGACAUGGUGGUGCUAUUCUUUUGCUGGUUUUGGUUGUCGGUCUCCCUUGCUCCUCUCCUCGUCCUUAUCUCUUUGCUCCCCUGAGCCACUGCAACCCUGUCACCCUAUCCUCGGCCACCGUUUUCGAUCUGUUCCUCUAACGCCGUUUCCCGUUGAGCUUGCUAUGAGUGACUGUCAAUUUUUCAGCGAGUCACUAAGCACUUUUCUCUAAUACCUCUUCUUGAUUUUGCUGAUUUAGAUUGAUGUGCAUUGUUAGAGUAUAAAGUUAUUUGUUAGGGAAUUAUUUAACAGUGGGGAUGAGUAUGAAAGUCAAGUGUUGAAAAAAAAUUGGACAGAAAUUCCAUCAUAUUGUAAACUAUACUCAUUUAACAAGCUUUUGUGUCUUUGUAUUCAAAAUUAUUGUUAUGGCUGAAUUGUGAUGGAAGCUAUGUUUUGAAGCUCCUGUAAUUAGUUUGUGUUGACUGUGUAAUGGCCCAAGCAUUAGUUGUUGAGCAUUGUUUAUGAUUUGAUGUGGAUGUAUAGAAGAAGAUUUUUGUGUCUCAGAUUGAUGUUUCAUUCUCGUUUUGUAUGUUUUGCAAGUUGUUAUCUGCCUCUAUUUUCUGUCUGUUCUGGGAAGGAUCGUCUCAGGGGUGACAAUUGGUUAUGCUGGUUUCGAUGCCUAGAAUGAUGGACAUUGUCCUCAAUCUUGGUCUGGAUGAUGAAUUGGUUGUAGGCCUAGCAGCAAAAAGCAGAGAACGCUUUUCCUAUCACUCAUUUAGCCAGCUAUUCCAUGAUAUAUGUACACAAGUUGAUGCAGGAAGCUGUCUAUUGGAUUUAUGGGGCAUGGACUGUCGUUACUUUGCUUGAACUAUGCCAAGUCUCCAGGAGUUGCAUCUGUAAGAUUGGGUUGAGCUUGAGUUCUUUCGGUCAAGUUGGGUAUUUACUCAAUAUAAAACUGCUGCAUACUGCUCUGCACUCUGAUUUGAACUGUUGCUGCUGCUGUUGUGCGUCACUUAUGCGUCACCAAUAUUGGUGCUUCUUUCAUUGAUGAUGUAUGUCUCAGAUCAGCAGGUAUUCAACAAUCCGGGGGAGCAGCCUUUCACCACCGUGGGGGAUAAAUGAAGUUCGAGACAAGUUGACAAACUUCAUUACUAGUGAUUAUCUUUGAUAUUUUCUUGUAAUGAAUCUUAGAUUAUGGAUGCUAGUUUUUCAUAUGAUUGAAAUGUAAUCUACUUUUAGAGUUACAAUUAUAUACUAUUUAAUUUAAUUA